AUUGAACGCUGGCGGCAGGCCUAACACAUGCAAGUCGAGCGGAGCGGCGGACGGGCGAGUAAUGCCUAGGAAUCUGCCUGGUCGUGUGGGAUCACGUCCGGAAACGGGCGCUAAUUCCGCAUCUUAUCAGAUGAGCCUAGGUCGGAUUAGCUAGUUGGUGGGGUAAAUGCCUACCAAGGCGACGAUCCGUAACUGGUUUGAGAGGCUGAUCCGUCACACUGGAACUGAGACACGGUCCAGGCUCGUACGGGAGGCAGCAGUGGGGAAUAUUGGACAAUGGGCGAAAGCCUGAUCCAGCCAUGCCGCGUGUGUGAAGAAGGUCUUCGGAUUGUAAAGCACUUUAAGUUGGGAGGCGUUACCAACAGAAUAAGCACCGGCUAACUUCGUGCCAGCAGCCACGGUAAUUC
rnacentral:rRNA from 1 species